UUGCGUGAUGACGUCAGACUCGAAACACCAAGGAUUUAGUGAGAGCCCUCGCCCGCAGAGCCAAAGGGGUGAAGCAAAGCUCCAGCUCCCCCUCGCGGGACCUAGUGGGCGGAGCUUGAGCUACUCUACUCUGUUUACAGGCCAUCGGAACUUACACAAUUUGCAUCGCACGACGCAUCAGACAGGAUCCCCUGCUGUCUAUUGAGAGAUGCACAGUGUGCUGCAUAAAAUACCACUGUGCAUACUGUAAAUUGGUGCGAGCUCCAAACUCACGUAAUAGCUAAUCACAUGCAAAAUGCAGUUCAACAAGAAGAUUUGACCAUCAUGAAGUCUGGUCUAAACUGCAGACCAUCACCACAUAUUCACUGCUGCUAUUGCAUUUCAACAGUAAUCAGACGGGAUGGUAUUAUUAAACAUUUAAAAACCUGUAAAAACAUGAAGACAGCCUCCAUUGCCAGUAGCACCACCACCAUCCCUAUAGCAUCUGCAGCACCACCUCCAAAAAGAUUACGUGUCCGGCAACAAAUCAGGGUGACUUGCACACACUUUCGAAUUCAGAUAUAUCAAAGGAACUUGCUGGUUCAUAUUAACAGAAGACAUUGGCAAAAGGUGUGAAGAGUGAUGGAACAAUACUUGUGUUGAAGCCAACCUCAUCCACAUAAAUAAAUUCAUGGCGAUUUACAUUGGCAUCCAUCUCCAAUACUCUCUGUAACAGACAAAAGGAUAUACAGUUGAGUAAAUAUGUCAAAUCCCACAGCCAGUUGCCCAAGAAAGAAAACUAGCAAAACCAGAUGAAACAGAAGUCAUUCCACCUGAGUCAGAUGUCAUUGAGAUUACCCAAACACCAAGAAUCUCUGACUCAGCGGUCAUGAGAAAUGUUCAUCUGGCCUGUGAGUGGGUGGAGGAGAACCAACGCCACUUUGCUGGGAAGAUUGAACUGCCAAAGAUUUUAAGAAUGAAGGAGAAUGAUGCCUUGUUGGCUAUCACAAUGUGUGACUUAUUUAUAAACACAUUAUAUGAAGGUGACAUGGACGAAGAAGAAAUCCAGGCUCCUUUCUUAUUCACUUUUCAGAGAUUAGAGGACAUGGAAUUUGUAGGAAAUAUGAGACAAAAGAAAUAUCCGUGUUUCUUGUUUCUUUAACCCUGACUUGUGAAUAUUGUGGGAUGUUGUAAAUAUUAUAAAUGUAAAUGUUUUGUUUUUGUAAAAUAACAUUAAAAUUCUGUGUGAAAAUAAGUGUUGUGUUCUUGAAAU